UACGUAGGGUGCAAGCGUUGUCCGGCAUUAUUGGGCGUACAGAGCUCGUAGGCGGUUUGUCGCGUCUGCUGUGAAAACGCGAGGCUCAACCUCGCGCCUGCAGUGGGUACGGGCAGACUAGAGUGCGGUAGGGGAGAUUGGAAUUCCUGGUGUAGCGGUGGAAUGCGCAGAUAUCAGGAGGAACACCGAUGGCGAAGGCAGAUCUCUGGGCCGUAACUGACGCUGAGGAGCGAAAGCGUGGGGAGCGAACAGG
rnacentral:rRNA from 1 species